UAGGGAAUCUUCAGCAAUGGACGAAAGUCUGACCGAGCAACGCCGCGUGAGUGAAGAAGGUUUUCGGAUCGUAAAACUCUGUUGUUAGAUAAGAACAAGGACGUUAGUAACUGAACGUCCCCUGACGGUAUCUAACCAGAAAGCCACGGCUAACUACGUGCCAGCAGCCGCGGUAAUACGUAGGUGGCAAGCGUUGUCCGGAUUUAUUGGGCGUAAAGCGAGCGCAGGCGGUUUCUUAAGUCUGAUGUGAAAGCCCCCGGCUCAACCGGGGAGGGUCAUUGGAAACUGGGAGACUUGAGUGCAGAAGAGGAGAGUGGAAUUCCAUGUGUAGCGGUGAAAUGCGUAGAUAUAUGGAGGAACACCAGUGGCGAAGGCGGCUCUCUGGUCUGUAACUGACGCUGAGGCUCGAAAGCGUGGGGAGCAAACAGG
rnacentral:rRNA from 1 species